rnacentral:rRNA from 1 species
AUACGUAGGGUGCGAGCGUUAAUCGGAAUUACUGGGCGUAAAGCGUGCGCAGGCGGUUUUGUAAGACAGUUGGUGAAAUCCCCGGGCUCAACCUGGGAACUGCCAUUGUGACUGCGAGGCUGGAGUGCGGCAGAGGGGGAUGGAAUUCCGCGUGUAGCAGUGAAAUGCGUAGAUAUGCGGAGGAACACCGAUGGCGAAGGCAAUCCCCCUGGGCCUGCACUGACGCUCAUGCACGAAAGCGUGGGGAGC